rnacentral:rRNA from 1 species
ACGGUACAACGAGUCGCAAGACCGCGAGGUUUAGCAAAUCUCUUAAAGCCGUUCUCAGUUCGGAUUGUAGGCUGCAACUCGCCUACAUGAAGUCGGAAUCGCUAGUAAUCGCGGAUCAGCAUGCCGCGGUGAAUACGUUCCCGGGCCUUGUACACACCGCCCGUCACACCAUGGGAGUCGGUAACACCCGAAGUCGGUAGUCUAACCGAAAGGAGGACGCCGCCGAAGGUGGGAUUGAUGACUGGGGUGAAGUCGUAACAAGGUACC